GUCUACGGCCAUACCACCCUGAACGUGCCCAAUCUUGUCUGAUCUCAAAGCUAAGCAGGGUCAGGCCUGGUUAGUACUUGGAUGGGAGAAAAAUGGAAACAAAGUCUUUGUAAAUA
ensembl:rRNA 5S_rRNA 5S ribosomal RNA